UGUAAAUAUCAUUAUUUUGAUUAGCUGAUUCUGUUGACCUUUUUUUCUUUUCUUCCGAGUUCUCUCUUUCUCAUCACCCACGUGGUCACGUAAUUUCUAUGUGACAUUUGAUGCUUUGAAGACCUAAAUACAUCAAUAUAGGUAACAUUAUAAGACCUACCUUUUCAACAAAGGUUUUAUCUACACGGUAGUGCCAUAUACGAUUUCGAUGAGUGAGUAAGUAAUAACAAUGUGUACUUAAAACCCU